GCCUGGCUAGCUCAGUUGGUAGAGCAUUCGACUCUUAUGGUCAAGAGCCUCCCAGCCUCGCCUGACCCGGUGUAGGUAUCGAAUUGUCGUGGGUUCGAGCCCCACGUUGGGCG
rfam:Puccinia sorghi strain RO10H11247 Scaffold_1285, whole genome shotgun sequence.